GGGCUCGCAGGCGGUUUCUUAAGUCUGAUGUGAAAGCCCCCGGCUCAACCGGGGAGGGUCAUUGGAAACUGGGGAACUUGAGUGCAGAAGAGGAGAGUGGAAUUCCACGUGUAGCGGUGAAAUGCGUAGAGAUGUGGAGGAACACCAGUGGCGAAGGCGACUCUCUGGUCUGUAACUGACGCUGAGGAGCGAAAGCGUGGGGAGCGAACAGGAUUAGAUACCCUGGUAGUCCACGCCGUAAACGAUGAGUGCUAAGUGUUAGGGGGUUUCCGCCCCUUAGUGCUGCAGCUAACGCAUUAAGCACUCCGCCUGGGGAGUACGGUCGCAAGACUGAAACUCAAAGGAAUUGACGGGGGCCCGCACAAGCGGUGGAGCAUGUGGUUUAAUUCGAAGCAACGCGAAGAACCUUACCAGGUCUUGACAUCCUCUGACGAUCCUAGAGAUAGGACGUCCCCUUCGGGGGCAGAGUGACAGGUGGUGCAUGGUUGUCGUCAGCUCGUGUCGUGAGAUGUUGGGUUAAGUCCCGCAACGAGCGCAACCCUUGAUCUUAGUUGCCAGCAUUCAGUUGGGCACUCUAAGGUGACUGCCGGUGACAAACCGGAGGAAGGUGGGGAUGACGUCAAAUCAUCAUGCCCCUUAUGACCUGGGCUACACACGUGCUAC
rnacentral:rRNA from 1 species